AAGGCUUGACAUAUGCCGGAAACACCUAGAGAUGGGUGCCCUUUUAGUCGGUAUACAGGUGGUGCAUGGCUGUCGUCAGCUCGUGUCGUGAGAUGUUGGGUUAAGUCCCGCAACGAGCGCAACCCUCGUCCUAUGUUGCCAGCACGUCCUUCGGGAUGGUGGGGACUCAUAGGAGACUGCCGGGGUCAACUCGGAGGAAGGUGGGGAUGACGUGUAACCGAAUCU
rnacentral:misc_RNA from 1 species